AAAGUCGUAACAAGGUUUCCGUAGGUGAACCUGCGGAAGGAUCAUUAAAAAAACCGUGUUUAGGGCUGGUCUAACCAUCGCCCUGACCGAUAUUACCCAUGAGUUUUGUGUACCUAUUGUUUCCUCGGCAGGCUUGCCUGCCAGUAGGACCCCUUUACAAACCCACUGUAGUUGCAGUCAGCGUCAGUCACAUUUAAUAAUUACAACUUUCAACAACGGAUCUCUUGGUUCUG
rnacentral:misc_RNA from 1 species